rnacentral:rRNA from 1 species
CACGUAGGGGACGAGCGUUGUCCGGAUUCAUUGGGCGUAAAGCGCGCGUAGGCGGCUCGGAAAGUCGGGCGUGAAAUGCCGGGGCUCAACCCCGGGACUGCGUCCGAUACUUCCGAGCUGGAGGUAGGUAGGGGAGAUCGGAAUUCCUGGUGUAGCGGUGAAAUGCGCAGAGUAUCAAGGAGGAACACCGGUGGCGAAGGCGG